rnacentral:lncRNA from 1 species
CCAAGUCUCGAACCCGAGACCUACCGCUCAUGGGAGUAUUAUAAACUACUAAAUUCAUAUUAACUUGGACCAAUAGUUGUGAUAGGCCCAUGUUCUUUUAAUAUGAUUAAAAUGAUUUUGAUGUAGCCCAAAACUACUCCCUCAACAAACGAAUAUUAAGUUGAUAAGCGAGAGAUGUUUUGAACAUCUCUUCGUAGGCCUUC